rnacentral:rRNA from 1 species
GGGUCAGUAGGUUGGUCGUGCCACCGGUACGUACUGGUCUCACUGAUUCCUCCUUCCUGAAGAACCGUAAUGCCAUUAAUGUGGUGUUGCGGGGAAACAGGACUGUUACUUUGAGAAAAUUAGAGUGUUUAAAGCAAGCUAACGCUUGAAUACAUUAGCAUGGAAUAAUGAAAUAGGACGAUCGAUCCUAUUUUGUUGGUUUCUAGGAUUGACGUA